CCUACGGGGGGGCAGCAGUGGGGAAUAUUGGACAAUGGGGGCAACCCUGAUCCAGCCAUGCCGCGUGUGUGAAGAAGGCCCUCGGGUUGUAAAGCACUUUCAGUGAGGAAGAACGCCUGGUGGUUAAUACCCAUCAGGAACGACAUCACUCACAGAAGAAGCACCGGCUAACUCCGUGCCAGCAGCCGCGGUAAUACGGAGGGUGCGAGCGUUAAUCGGAAUUACUGGGCGUAAAGCGCGCGUAGGUGGCUUGAUAAGCCGGUUGUGAAAGCCCCGGGCUCAACCUGGGAACGGCAUCCGGAACUGUCAAGCUAGAGUGCAGGAGAGGAAGGUAGAAUUCCCGGUGUAGCGGUGAAAUGCGUAGAGAUCGGGAGGAAUACCAGUGGCGAAGGCGGCCUUCUGGACUGACACUGACACUGAGGUGCGAAAGCGUGGGUAGCAAACAGGAUUAGAUACCCCUGUAGUC
rnacentral:rRNA from 1 species